ensembl:snRNA U6 U6 spliceosomal RNA
GUGCUCACUUUGGCAGCACAUACACUAAAAUUGGACCAAUACUGAGAUUAGCACGGCCUGUCCACAAGGAUUACAUGCAAAUUCAUAAGUAUUCCAUAUUUUU